GGAGAAAAGCAGGGGAUCGCAAGACCUUGCGCUUUUGGAGCGGCCGAUGUCUGAUUAGCUUGUUGGUAAGGUAAAAGCUUACCAAGGCUUCGAUCAGUAGCUGGUCUGAGAGGACGACCAGCCACACUGGGACUGAGACACGGCCCAGACUCCUACGGGAGGCAGCAGUGGGGAAUUUUGGACAAUGGGGGCAACCCUGAUCCAGCCAUGCCGCGUGAGUGAAGAAGGCCUUCGGGUUGUAAAGCUCUUUCAGCCGGAACGAAACGGUUACGGUUAAUACCCGUGACUACUGACGGUACCGGAAGAAGAAGCACCGGCUAACUACGUGCCAGCAGCCGCGGUAAUACGUAGGGUGCGAGCGUUAAUCGGAAUUACUGGGCGUAAAGCGUGCGCAGGUGGUUUUGUAAGUCAGAUGUGAAAUCCCCGGGCUCAACCUGGGAACUGCGUUGAAACUACAAAG
rnacentral:rRNA from 1 species